CUAUGCGCCCUUGCCAGCCCGCUCAGGUGUGCCAGCAGCCGCGGUAAUACGUAGGGGGCAAGCGUUAUCCGGAUUUACUGGGUGUAAAGGGAGCGUAGACGGCUAAGCAAGUCUGAAGUGAAAGCCCGGGGCCCAACCCCGGGACUGCUCUGGAAACUGCGGCGCUCGAGUGCCGGAGGGGCAGGCGGAAUUCCUAGUGUAGCGGUGAAAUGCGUAGAUAUUAGGAGGAACACCAGUGGCGAAGGCGGCCUGCUGGACGGCGACUGACGUUGAGGCUCAAAAGCGUGGGAGCAAACAGG
rnacentral:rRNA from 1 species